AUUGAACGCUGGCGGCAGGCUUAACACAUGCAAGUCGAACGAUGAAACUCUAGCUUGCUAGAGAUGAUUAGUGGCGGACGGGUGAGUAACAUUUAGGAAUCUGCCUAGUAGUGGGGGAUAGCUCGGGGAAACUCGAAUUAAUACCGCAUACGACCUACGGGUGAAAGGGGGCGCAAGCUCUUGCUAUUAGAUGAGCCUAAAUCAGAUUAGCUAGUUGGUGGGGUAAAGGCCCACCAAGGCGACGAUCUGUAACUGGUCUGAGAGGAUGAUCAGUCACACCGGAACUGAGACACGGUCCGGACUCCUACGGGAGGCAGCAGUGGGGAAUAUUGGACAAUGGGGGCAACCCUGAUCCAGCCAUGCCGCGUGUGUGAAGAAGGCCUUGUGGUUUUAAAGCACUUUAAGCAGGGAGGAGAGGCUAAUGGUUAAUACCCAUUAGAUUAGACGUUACCUGCAGAAUAAGCACCGGCUAACUCUGUG
rnacentral:rRNA from 1 species